rnacentral:rRNA from 1 species
GUGCCAGCCGCCGCGGUAAUACAGAGGGUGCAAGCGUUGUUCGGAAUUACUGGGCGUAAAGCGCGCGCAGGCGGAUCCUGCAAGUCCGGAGUGAAAUCUCACUGCUCAACGGUGAGGCUGCUUUGGAUACUGCGGAUCUGGAGACCGGUAGAGGCUGGUAGAAUUGCAGGUGUAGCGGUGGAAUGCGUAGAGAUCUGCAAGAAUACCCGUGGCGAAGGCGGCCAGCUGGGCCGGUUCUGACGCUGAGGCGCGAAAGCGUGGGGAGCAAACAGGAUUAGAAACCCUGGUAGUCC